UGGUGGUGGUGGAGACGGGCGGGGAUGGACGGUGGUGGUGGGGUCGGGGGGGCUCGAGGCUUGAGCGCGACAGCGGCUCCAUCUCGCAUCUCAUUCAGAUGAAUGCAGAGCUCAAGUUUCAAGCCAUUAAGGCCAAAAUAGAUGCAGCUGAGGAUCAGUUCACCCCACUGUCUCUCUCAGUUAACAGCUUCAAAGCAGAGGUACAGAGUCCGGGUCCGGGUGGGCAUCCCACUGAUGUGGGGGGCCUUCAAUCCAAAUCAUGACCACGCGGUGGUCAGCCUCAAGAUUUUUCGCUCGACGGCAAGGGACAAACCAUGCAAGCCAAUAUACUGUACAUCACACACAAAGAUAAAAAUGUGUUUCAAAGAGCAUCUAGUUGAAGGGAAAGUUUAUGCAUUGUCAGAUUCUGAAGUUUCUGAAGUAAAGCACAAGAAUUUCGUCACCUGUCGUAAUGGCUUGAUGCUGUACAUUGGUGGAUGUGUUAGAUGGACUUGUCAAUUCGACACCGGAAGCUGCAGCACGUAACCAAGUGAAGCCUGAAAUAUAACUCAUGAAUCUCAUGUUUAAUUAGUUUACAGUUACACUGUGUCCCGGUAUUUGCUAGGAAGUCUCCAGAUGACAACUCGACUGCGAUUUGAAGUUGAAUCACAACUAAGUUGUUCCCAUGUACCAAUCUGGAACAAGGAAUUAACAUGGCUCUAGUCCUCCAGCUACUCUCGUCCAAAGCAUGGUAGCACAAAACAAUUGUCUUGUCCUAGCCGUAGCUUUCUAUUCUCUUGACGGGCUGACUGGUCACAAAGUGCUCCACUUGCCACAUACCAUAAAUAACCCUAUGCUUUUGUGAA